CCUCGCCCCGAUGUACCUCACGAGCCCGACUUUUCUCUGGCGGCGUCCGUAUAUGAAGAGGCGGCGCCGGCUUGAGGGUAUCGGGCGGAGGAGGCCUGGGGACGACAAGGUGGUUCCCUCAUCUCACAGAAAACCGAGCGUGUUCUUCCUCCCUCCCCUCUCGAGACUUGCGGCGGCUAUGGAGCGUGGGCACACGUUAGCAACGGAUGGAGGGCUGCAGCACCGGAUCGAGAUGAGUCCAUCUCCCGCUCUCUCUCUCUCUAGAUCCCUCUGGAUGGUGUGUGUGCUCCGCGCCAGCCAUGUGUGCGACCGGGAACGAACAAAUCAGACCUAGGUGGAUGUGACUGGAUGGCUGGAGGCCUUCGCCGCCGACCCACACAUCGGCACCACCUCCCGCGUCGUCUCCAAGUCCGUUCCCUGCUGAUUAGUUCUUCUUCUGUCUGUUGGUCUCAGUUAGUUCGUCCCUUCAUCAUCAGGCCAUCAGUCAUCACUACAGAUGGAGCAAGGAGGAGCAUUCAGCUGUACUUUCCAUAGCCACUGAUUCCACCACGCAGGAAUUGUCAGAAUGGAAUGCGAAAUAUUGCGACAAGUUUGGAUUUGUCUUCAUGAUAUGCGUGUCCAGGAGGACCGCCCCUGAGGUGCACAAAAGUGAGGCCACGACGUGGAGCUAGGCGGCGGUGGACUGGAGAACUUCUCUCUGUUAAUUCUGUCUUUCUCUCUCUUAAUAAGUUUAUCUAUGUACUCUUUGUGUUAACUGUGUGUGUGUGUGUGUGUGUUAAUCCUGUAUGAAGAAUCAACAUAAUUCUGUGAAUUUCAGACUUUGGGUGAAAGCAACGGGUUCAGUGGGCAUGCGUGACUAUAUCCUUCUGGUGCAUUUAAUAUAUGUAAUUGAGCGAACAAGUUGCAUAAUGACAGUUUCCUAUUUUC